CGGAACUAACAAUCCAGAACUUCCCGAUUUAUAUGGACGGGGUUAACGGGGACUUGCUCUCUCCCGGCUUAAUCACUUUUCCGCAGUAGUGAUUAACACGAAGAUUAAUCGUCAUAUUUGUCUUCUGGAUUUAAGCUUCCAGCAAUGAUGUGC